GUGGAGGCGACGUAUGGAAGCAAAACCAGCUUUGGAGAUAUACAAGAGAGAAAAAAUGAAUAUAACAAACGUAAUCGGCAUUUAUGAUAACACGCAGGAGAACAGUCGUCUUUUGGGGGCAAGGUGUGGAGUAUUACGAACGAAGCUGUGGAGAAGUAAAUUCGAGGACACUGAUGCACAUUACGACCUAUGUAAGGACUACCAGGUAGACCAUGCUCCAUACAAGAGGCCCUCAGUUUCUGCAUCGCCGACGGACAAGACUUGUCGCUGAUGGAGAAGGAGCGGAGACUAAAACAAUGUACUACACAAAACAGACAGAUGCAGAGGUGCCAGGAAAAAUCCCGAAAACGAACAAACAAUGACAUCGAAAACAUAGCAGCUGAUUCUGAAACAGGACCAAGUACAACGCCAUCUGUGGAAAAGGCAGCGCCUUCAAAUUCAGCUCAAAAGGAAAAUCGGGGCUUACUGCACACCACGUCAGUAAAGAGGAAUAAUUUUAAACCGGAACAAAGCCUGGCGAAGAAAUAUUUUAGCAUGUCCGCACAAUUCGCUGUUUUUUUGCUGGACCCUCGUUUCAAAGAGGCCCACCAGGGGUGCACCAACAAUCCAUCCAUCCAUCGAACUUGGAACUUGAACUUGGAAAUGUUUGUUGGCAGCCUGAUAAUUAGGUGUUCCCUCGUGUCUUUCAACUCCUCAGACCGUCUAAAAAUGUGAACGUCUGUUUGUGUAGUGAGGUGCUCUGUUGUGUAUCUUGUACCUGAACAUGUGUACUAGCUGUGUACCAGCUCUAUUUACGGGGUAAGCGGGUGCGUGUACGACGGUUGUGAAUAUCCUCGAGCCCCAAAUCUGAACGAAGUUCCAGCGGAAGUCAACAUUGGCUCUUGUGGAAGCCGCCCCUAUACAUUGAGACAUGAAAUUCCAACUGGAGACAGGCUGUGUAGCCAGCCUUCUUCCAGCCCGCGUGCAUUGUGGAGCUGGUUACAGAGCACACUUUUUCGGACUGGAACCAUCGUGUUUCCACCCAGGGUCAAGCGUGUUCCCAGCCUGGAUCUACUUCAAAAAGUCAUGGCUGGAUCCAGUCCAAUAAUUCAGCCUGGAAAUUCCGGCUGGAUCCAGCCUGUUCUUUUCUUACCAGGGAUGGCACUGGCGUGUGCAGGAUUCGCAGGUUACAAAGUGUGUUUGGUCUCUUGAGCAAGGGACGUCAAACUGGGUUUCGCAGAACCCUGGAGUAUUCAGAUGUCUUGCGAAGGGUUCUGCUGUUGGCCAUCCAGUGUUAUGAAAUGUGCACACGGGUGGUGAACGUUUUGUCGGCUCACAUUCUUGCUAAUUUUGCAAACAACAUUGGGAACCUUUUUAGUCACCAACACAUUAUUCAAAACAUAAAAGUGACUGUUGUACAAGGUAUAUCGUAACAUUGAUUAAAAUAACGAAAAGCCGAGAGACACGUAGACAAACAUGAAGAACAUGUGUUUUUUUUUUUGUUGUUGUUGGUGUGUCUCACCGUUUACUAUUGAAUAAUGCAAAGCACAGGCUUAAAGCUUCAUGAAAUGACCCCAAGGUGUGUUGUUGCAGUGAGGUUUUAGUGAAUGUCGAAUUAAGCAGCUUGCGAUGUAAACUCCCGAUUGUUUUUACUGCGCCAGCUGCUAGUUGUGAUGUAUGCUACCUUAUUUCCUGGACCUAGAACAACAUGCUGCAGGUCCCAUAAAAGGCCUGGAUUUCCUGGCCGUUAAUAGUUGAUGUGCAACGCUUCUGUUAGUGUCAUAACAGCUAGAUCCAUUUUACAUUAUUGCUCAUUCGAUGAUUUUGAUGUUGUGUUGGUUUUUCUUUUUUAUUCUCGCAUAAUUCGUUUAUUCAGUCCUUAUUUUAGUGCUCAGAAUUUACAGCUACUAACACGUCCAGAUUUUGCUGCAUGUUAACUUGUUUUCGUAUUAUAGUUAGUAAAAUUCAUCUUUAUGUUUUUUUUUUUUAAUGAGCCAGUAUUGUGCUACACAAUGUGUAACUACAAAAGAUUUCAAAAAGACUGGCUUGUCAAAGUUGCCCUGUCACAAGGAAAUUAGUGUUUAAUCAGUCACACAAAUGUGGCACACAUAGCAAAUCUAGCACUCUACAAAUGCAUACGAUCCAUUUGUCCUUACAUGGCAUGCACGUGGCUUUGGUGGGAAGGAAAUUUUAUAGCACUAAGAUCCUUGACAUUCAGCUUGCUGCACGUGAUAUAGUGUGAUAUUGACCAUUUUUUCAUUUCUGUUCUAUAUUUCUGGCAGGUGCUUGCAGCAUUGGUGCCGCCUGAAGUAAAACCAGCUGCUCAUUAAAGUUGCUGCACGGGAGUGCCUCUGCAACAAGCCAUAGUUUUAGCCUUUUCCGGAAAAUUCCAACAUCUAAUGGAGUAGCAAAAGUGCAGUGUCUUCGCAGUCAUUCCUUACAAUGUCACUGCUGUGGAUAGUGUAGUUCUGAGUUAGCUGACAUUUUAAAGUUUUAUUUCUCUCUCACAUUUUUCAAAACAUUCACCUAUUCAUUCUUAGGUUUCUACUUUCUAAAGUUUCAUAUUGUUUUGCUUUGCAUAUUUGCAAGACAUUACACCAGUGUUGUUUUUAUGCAGUGCUGACUGAACCAUUUGCUCUUGACCAUGGCUUACUAGACAUCUCUUCAGGAUAUAAUAUGCAAUGCCCAGGGGAAGCUGCAAAAUGUAGCAUAUUAAAUGUCCUCCUCCAAAGACAGUGCAUCAAAGUCCUAUUCUUGUGUGUUGUCCUCCCUUCCCCCCACCCCCGAAGCUCUUUCUAGAGAUUAUAUAAUAGCCGGGAAAACUUCAGGUGUAGGAUGUGCAUGUGUGCUCUGUAUCUUUAGCUACACACACAUGGCUGGUAAGUCAUUCUAUCGCAAGAAUGUUCCACAUAACUUUAAAAGUCCACAGAAAAAUUCUAAAAAACAAUGAAAGAAAAGCUAAAUUUUAAAAAACUUCAAAAAUCUCAAUUCCGAAUUGUGUAGUGAACAUUCUCUCAACCCUCACUUUAUUGCAUGACUUCACCUGGUUCUGUGACCCCCCCUCCCUCCCCCCUUCGGAGUGCACCUGGGGCAGCUUCCCCUCUCUCUCCUGUCUCUGAAUGUUUUUUGGGAUGGGGCCCUUACUUUUGAGUCUAAUCGGAAUCCCUUAACUUGAAGGACAGCUUACAUUCGCAUGCAGUGUGAACGAACAAACUGUUUGUACAUGUCUAAGCCACAGUGUGAGUGUAAGACAUUAGAAAUAAUACUUUAUGUGCUUCAUGUGCAGUGUCUCUUAUUCUCUAGCUGCUCUAGCAGACCUGGAAAAUCUGUCUAGGUCAACAGAGUACUGGUCGCGUGUCAGCUUUAGUGGCUGUGGACCUUUGCUUGUCCUUAUUGUUUGUUUCUGCUCGAUAGCUCAAAUUGCUGCGUGCAUGCAUCACCCUGGUAUGACGUCAUACGCUUGACAUACAUCAUUGACUGUGUUGGACCUCCAACCUGUGACUAAUGCUGGUGUAUGCUAUUGUUGACUCUUUGGCACUCUAUCUUCAUGUCAAGGUUAGAGCAGCGCACACUUUGUAUGCCUGGUCAUCAGUUUACGCUGAAAGUAUUUUCUUCGGAACGUUUAUCCCCAAAUUGCUCGGAAUAAGCAAAAAAGGUGUUAGAAAUCCACGUGCAGGAAAUGUAACUUGCUUCUAAACAUGCCUCAGUCAUCAACACAUAGAAACUGUUAUGUUUACACAUUUUACGCGUUAUGCCAUUUUCAUAAAAACACGCUUGAUGGUGACUCAUUGUGUCAGUUCCACUUGACUUAAUUUUUUUGCUGCCCUUCACGCAGGUACAAAGCCACAGCGUGGGAAACGUGGCGGUCUCUACGAAUGCAUGUACUGUCCUUACUCUACCAAGGACAAAACAUGGAUGACAAGGCAUGUGAGAACACAUACAGGGGAGAAGCCUUUCCAGUGCACCAUCUGUCAGAGGGCCUUCGCAGCUCGAUCAAACCUCCUCAGGCACGUUCGCAGCCACAAGGGACAGAAGCCACAUGGGUGCCCAGUCUGCUGCAGGGUGUUUUUACUUAAGCACCAAAUGUUGUUGCACUUAGCUGGUCAUCAGGUCAUCAGUGGUGUAAUAUAAAGUGCCAUUGCAGAAGGAAGCUUGCACGGCACAGUGCUACUCACUCCAGUGGUGUUAACAGUCUUCAAAGUCUGUCACAGCAAAUGUAAAUGGAUGUGCAAGAAGGUAUUUAUUCUGGUGUCAACCCUGCAAACAUAUCAUAGAAAGGCCGACUGACUGACAGGACAACGCACUGCUUGCUUUUGCAUGAAGAGUUGAGCAAGCACAUGCGCUCUAUUUGGGUCUCUGUGCACUGUUUCUCUUUUAUUCCGACUUCUGCUUGAGUUGGGCAUAAUCUAUCAAAAGCACAAAAAAAUAUUUUGUUUCUGUAACGGGGUUGUGCUUGGUCAUAGUUUGCAUUUGAAAAGUGUUAUGAUGGGGGCUUACACAAUUUGCACUCUACAGUUUACUCUACAAAGGUGUUAUUACGUUCUUGGUGAUGUUACUGCUUUCAAGUGGCAGAUCCAUGCAAAGUAAGAGUCCUGCAUGGUCUUUAUUUUGAACAUAUCUAAUAGCUAGGGUUCCACGUUUUCGGUUUUAAUUCUUUUUGCGGAUUUGGCAUACGUUUCUCUGUACUAUUUAUUGAUUUUCACGAAAUCAGCAUUUUUCUAUGUUUUUCCUGGCAUGUACACGGUUUAACCGACAGUUAUCGGCGAAUAGAAAUCACAAUGUAAUUUCA